GUUAGGAAUAUUGGACAAUGGGCGCAAGCCUGACGCAGCCAUGCCGCGUGAAUGAUGAAGGUCUUAGGAUUGUAAAAUUCUUUCACCGGGGACGAUAAUGACGGUACCCGGAGAAGAAGCCCCGGCUAACUUCGUGCCAGCAGCCGCGGUAAUACGAAGGGGGCUAGCGUUGCUCGGAAUUACUGGGCGUAAAGGGCGCGUAGGCGGACAGUUUAGUCAGAGGUGAAAGCCCAGGGCUCAACCUUGGAAUUGCCUUUGAUACUGGCUGUCUUGAGUACGGGAGAGGUGAGUGGAACUCCGAGUGUAGAGGUGAAAUUCGUAGAUAUUCGGAAGAACACCAGUGGCGAAGGCGACUCACUGGCCCGUUACUGACGCUGAGGCGCGAAAGCGUGGGGAGCAAACAGGAUUAGAUACCCCGGUAGUCC
rnacentral:rRNA from 1 species